rnacentral:rRNA from 1 species
UACGUAGGGUGCAAGCGUUGUCCGGAAUUAUUGGGCGUAAAGAGCUCGUAGGCGGUCUGUUGCGUCGGCUGUGAAAACCCGGGGCUCAACUCCGGGCCUGCAGCCGAUACGGGCAGACUAGAGUUCGGCAGGGGAGACUGGAAUUCCUGGUGUAGCGGUGAAAUGCGCAGAUAUCAGGAGGAACACCGGUGGCGAAGGCGGGUCUCUGGGCCGUAACUGACGCUGAGGAGCGGAAGCGUGGGGAGCGAACAGG